rnacentral:rRNA from 1 species
AUUGAACGCUGGCGGCAUGCUUUACACAUGCAAGUCGAACGGCAGCGCGGGCUUCGGCCUGGCGGCGAGUGGCGAACGGGUGAGUAAUGCAUCGGAACGUGCCCAGUAGUGGGGGAUAGCCCGGCGAAAGCCGGAUUAAUACCGCAUACGACCUGAGGGUGAAAGCGGGGGACCGAAAGGCCUCGCGCUAUUGGAGCGGCCGAUGUCGGAUUAGCUAGUUGGUGGGGUAAAGGCUUACCAAGGCGACGAUCCGUAGCUGGUCUGAGAGGACGACCAGCCACACUGGGACUGAGACACGGCCCAGACUCCUACGGGAGGCAGCAGUGGGGAAUUUUGGACAAUGGGGGCAACCCUGUGCCAGCCAUGCCGCGUGCGGGAAGAAGGCCUUCGGGUUGUAAACCGCUUUUGUUCGGGAAGAAAUCCUCUGGGCUAAUACCCCGGGGGGAUGACGGUACCGGAAGAAUAAGCAACGGCUAACUACGUG